rnacentral:lncRNA from 10 species
GAAGCAGGAGUAGGCACGCCACAUGGCGUGACUGCAGAGGGAGCUGAACCGACAUUUCUGAAAGAAGACGUACAAAUGACCAACAAGAGCUUGAAGGAAUGCUCAGCAUCAUUCAUCAUCAGGGACACGCAAGUCAAAACCACAAUGAGGUGUCCUCUCAUCCCACAGAAUGGCCAUUAUCAAAAAGGCAAAAAUAAAUCCUGCAGAGGAAGUGAAGAAAGGGAACUCGUAUGCUGUUAGUGGGAAGUUGUACAACCACUAAGGAAAACUGUAUGGAGAUUCCUCAAAAAGCUAAAAAUAGAGCUAACCCAGCAAUCCCACUAUGGGGUGUGUAUCCAAAGGAAAAGAAAUCAGUGUGUUGAAGAGAUAUCUGCACCCCAUGUUUAUCACAGCACUGCUCACGAUAGCCAUGAUAUGAAAGCACCUAAGUGCUUGUCAACAGAUGAAUGGAAAACAUGGAAAAGUAAUGAAAAGGAAAAGAUGGUGUAUACACACAAUGGAAUUCUAUUUAACCCUAGAGCAGAACAAAAUUCUGCCCUAUGUGACAAUACAGGUGAGCUUGGAGGACAUUAUGCUAAAUGAAAUAAGCCAGGCACAGAAAGAUGAACUGCAUGAUCUCACUCACAGGUGCAAGCUAAAGAAGUUGAUAUCUCACUGGUCCCCAUAAACAUGUACAAUGAUCAUGCUUCAAUUAAAAUAUUAAUAAAGAAAGAAAAAGAAUAACUGUAGAAUAUGCUGGGAAUGCAACAUCCUGAGUUAGGGAGGGACUGGCCAGAAGAGUCGGGCUUUGUCCCAGUUCCUAGAAACAGGAUAUUCUUUCGUGCUUUAGUGCAGUGAAUCCUGUAGCCCUGGGACAUAAGACCGAGGGCAGGCGGCUUUCUGGGAUCCCUCAGCUGUGGUGUGAGUGGGGCACACAUGGAUAAGACUCAGCUCACCUGGGAAGCUUUGCUGAGGCUAGAGGGCUCCCAAUGAAUCCGAGGCUCCUGUUCUCCCUUGCUGCCUGUCUGUAACUGGUAUACCCACUUCCUGUGACAUAUGUGAGUGUCUCACCUGAGUCU